GAGUUUGAUCCUGGCUCAGAUUGAACGCUGGCGGCAGGCCUAACACAUGCAAGUCGAACGGUAACAGGAAGAAGCUUGCUUCUUUGCUGACGAGUGGCGGACGGGUGAGUAAUGUCUGGGAAACUGCCUGAUGGAGGGGGAUAACUACUGGAAACGGUAGCUAAUACCGCAUAACGUCGCAAGACCAAAGAGGGGGACCUUCGGGCCUCUUGCCAUCGGAUGUGCCCAGAUGGGAUUAGCUAGUAGGUGGGGUAACGGCUCACCUAGGCGACGAUCCCUAGCUGGUCUGAGAGGAUGACCAGCCACACUGGAACUGAGACACGGUCCAGACUCCUACGGGAGGCAGCAGUGGGGAAUAUUGCACAAUGGGCGCAAGCCUGAUGCAGCCAUGCCGCGUGUAUGAAGAAGGCCUUCGGGUUGUAAAGUACUUUCAGCGGGGAGGAAGGGAGUAAAGUUAAUACCUUUGCUCAUUGACGUUACCCGCA
rnacentral:rRNA from 1 species